GUUUCUCUUUAGUGGUUUUGAUUCCUGCAGCAGGUCUGACUGACAGAAACACACGGUCCAGAACGCUGCUGCUGGAGUUCUGACUAGAACCAGGAGGAUAGAGACACCACCCGGUUCUACACCACCCAGUUCUACA